AUGGCGGCGGAGUCGAGUACGCAGAGACGGCAGGGAAAGGAGUCGCCGGAAGAGCUACUGGCCAGACUUAACCUGCAAGAAGAGGAAGAUGAUGAUUUCGUCUGGGAGGAGGAGUUGCCAGAUCUGGGAGCUCCAGCAAAGUGGCUGGCCAUUGCAAGGGUACACACCCCGAAGAAGUUCAGCCCUAAUGCUCUAUAUGGGGACAUGUGGGCGGCAUGGAAUCCGGCAAAAACUGUUGCGUGGAGGAAGAUCAAAGACAACCUUUUUACUACUCAAUUUGGAUGUUUGGGGGAUUGGAACAAAGCUAUGAUGGAGGGCCCAUGGUUGUUUAGAGAUCAGGCUGUGAUCAUGGAAGAAUAUGAUGGUUUCAAAAACCCUGAGAGUUUUAAGCUGGAUAAGCUGGCAGUAUGGGCACAGAUCCAUCGCCUUCCUGACAACUUUUUGAUUGAGCCGGCGGUCAGAGGUUCGGCAUCUCGUAUUGGGGAAGUAGAGGACGUCCAAUUGAAACUCCCAGCAGGUUUCUUUGGUGAGUUUGUAAGAGUACGGGUGAAGAUUGAUGUACAUGCCAAGAUCAAGAGAUUUGUGACUGGAAAGAAGGGAGAAGAGAGGGUUAGAUACCAAGUAAAAUAUGAGAAGCUCCCAGUUUUCUGUUUCCACUGUGGUGAAUUCGGUCAUUGGCAUGAGGAGUGUGGUGAUGGAGUUCAUGAUGAGUCUAAGUUUGAAUGGGGAGACUUUGUUCUUGCAGAUAAUGUGCGCUUCCGACAAGCAGGGAGGGGUAGCUAUGGUCCUCAAAGGGGCCGGGGUGUACCAAGGAAUGCAGGCGGUAGAGGGAGAGGGAGGGAACCCUACAAUCCCAAUCAACCAUGGCGUUUCAACGCACAACCCACUGAGAACUAG
rnacentral:rRNA from 1 species